UACAGAGGGUGCAAACGUUGCUCGGAAUGACUGGGUGUAAAGCGCGUGUAGGCGGUCCGCUAAGUCGCCUGUGAAAUCCUAUGGCUCAACCAUGGAAGUGCAGGCGAUACUGGCGGACUCGAGUCCUGGAGAGGGUGGUGGAAUUCUCAGUGUAGAGGUGAAAUUCGUAGAUACUGGGAGGAACACCGGUGGCGAAGGCGACCACCUGGACAGGCACUGACGCUGAGACGCGAAAGCGUGGGGAUCAAACAGG
rnacentral:rRNA from 1 species